AAGGGUAUAGCUCAGGGAUAGAGCACAUGCUUAGCAUGCAUGAGGUCCUGGGUUCAAUCCCCAGUACCUCCA
rfam:Camelus ferus unplaced genomic scaffold scaffold672, whole genome shotgun sequence.